UACACGGCACCGCAGCAGGCGAACACUGCAGCACCUUGCAUGUGUCCUUCCGCGUCUCUCCCUCUGCCGGGCCUUGAUGUGGCACGGCCACAUCACCGGGAGAUCCCUCCGCAGCGCGUGAUGCUGCACAACCGAAACCUGAUAUCCCUCCGCGUUCUCGCCUUCCUCACUCCUAGCACUGUGGGACUACUUUGUGUCACGGUUCGUCCGCACAGCCACAUCCACGCACACAAAGAGGGGGAGGCUGGAGUAUGACAGCUGCUUUCAUAAAUACAGCACAGACAGAGAAUUAUUUUGCCCCCGCAAAUGCCAACCCUUGGAUCCCAACACAAAAAAUUGGAAGGGCUUUUUUACAGCUCAAGCAGCUUCUCCCUCACAGGCCAAAAUGGAAUCACCUCACGGAAUCGGAAAUGGAAUCACCUCACGGAAUCUGAAACGGAAUCACCUCACGGAAUCUGGAACGGAAUCACCUCACGGAAUCUGGAAUGGAAUCACCUCACAGAAUCUGGAAUGGAAUCACCUCAUGGGCCGAAAUGGAAUCACCUCACGGAAUCUGGAACGGAAUCACCUCACGGAAUCUGAAACGGAAUCACCUCAUGGAAUCUGAAACGGAAUCACCUCACGGAAUCUGGAAUGGAAUCACCUCACGGAAUCUGAGAUGGAAGUGAGGGCAAUGAGGAUCACCCUCAGGCCAAGCUGUGGGAUCAGCCCUUUCUGUGGGUUUUAAAUGAAUUCCCACUAAUGCAGCCUUAGAAAGCUGGGCCUUGCUCAGCCUUGGGUAAAGCCUUGCACAUUUUGUCCUUUUCUUGUUCCCUGUUCCACCACAAACCUCAGCUGGGGAAAGAAAAACCCAACAGAGCAAGCAAAGGAAGGGGCACCUGCAGCUGGAAAUGACAAAAAUCUCCUGUUCUAGGAGGAGAUUUAGGACUUGGAGCUCCCCAGGAACAGCCUCUGUUCCCGCUGUGCUGGGAGCCAGCAAUGAGCUCAGGCUGUGAGAUCAGAUUUUGCUGAGUCUACAGGGCCAGGCUCCUUCUUUCCUCUUUUCCAGGAGCUCCCCUCUCCAAGCCAUGCCUGGAUUUUUGAUUUCCUUGGGAAGCCUCGGCCCCCUCAGCAGCUCUGUGUCCGGGACACUCAGCUCUGCCAGCACAAACGCUGCUUUUGCCAUUCCCGUUCCUCCACCUGGGCCUUUGUGGGGUUCCUGGAACUGGGAGAGUUUCCUGGAAGAACAGGGCAGAAUGGUUUGUGCAGAAAGGGCUGCAGAGACAUCCAGGAGGCUGCUGGAACUCAGGGACAGCUCCUGGAAUUCUCUCUCCUGGUGGGGAUUUCUCUGGCUCGUGGUGAGCACCCAACGUGCUCUGGCUCCAGGGGAUGUUCAGGGAAAGAACCUGACCCUGUGCUGGCCAAAAGGAGCUGGAAAUUCAUGGAGGGAAUGCUGCAAAAAUGCACAGAUCAACGUGGUUUCCAUCUGGAUUUCAAGUUAAAGGGAUUUGGGACCAUCACCAUCAGGCCGAGCCUGUGCCCUUGCAGUUUUGGGGUGGGAAGAGCAGCUCAGAUGGAGCCAGAGCUGACUCUGGAUCUCUGCACAGCCCACGAUCGUGAAGAUGGUGAUGGAAAAACAAAAAACAAAAAGCAGCUUUGCCCUUGGGGCUGUUUGUCAGCCCUGGGUGGGGCCGGGAGGAGGCACUGCCAGCUCUCUCCAGAGCCAGUUCAUUCCUGGGAGAUUUUCUGGAAAACUCCAGAGGUUUGGGUCAGUCUCCAUCCUCCUGCUUUCUGGAGAGCUUCCCGCCCCUUGUGAGCCUGCACACGCCGAUUUUCCAUUCCUCUGGAAGCCACCAGAAACCCCAAAACAAGCCCAGAGCCUGGAUGAUGCUGGAUUUUCCUCUGAGCUCAUCGAGGAUGUCCAAAGCAGCACCAUCUGCAGAUGGGGCCAAGAAUCUGUAACGUCUCAAAGCUGAGCAAAAUAAAACGUGUGGGAGAGGAGAGCUCUUUUAUUAAUAGGAUCUGAGCCAUGGCAAGGCUGGGUCACCAGCAGGGACUGGCACCUUGGGACCAGGAUGGUUCUUCCAAGUAAGGGGCCUGCUCAAAACAGAGAAAUGGAAAAUAUUUCAGCUUGCAGCAGCAGGAGCUUCACUUUCUGCUGUUUGUUUGUGAGCUCCUCUCGUUUGUGAUGUCAGCUCCAGGCAGGAAAAAAAGGUGGAACGAACCUGGCAGUGCCCAGACUCCCAAAAAUCCCAAAAAAUAAUUUUCUGAUGCGUUUUUGAUUUUGUUUUCAGUCAGUAAAGCUUCAGUAAUAAUCCUGCUCCAGGCUGGGAGAUGUUUCCCCAUCAGCUCCUCCUGAAUUUGGGUUUUUUCAACAGGAACAAGCAAAAAUUAAAAAAAAAAAAAAUUAUAGUGAUAAUGAUUAUAAUAAG